UGGAAUCAGAGGAUGUGGGUCGA
rnacentral:miRNA from 1 species